GACGCGGAAGCGGGCAAGGGGCGGGGCCGUCCCGGGAGACCGCCCCGGGGGCGGGGCUGCCUCGCCCCUUCCUGCUCCGCUCCUCGCGUCGCGGCCCCGCCCCCGCGGCCGCUGCGCGCCGGACGGGGCCCAAGCGGGGGUCGGAGCCUCAAGGCUGCGGCGGCGACGAGCUCCGAGCGGGACACUGAACGGCCCGUAUGCGCAAGAUAAGCACGGACUGAAUCAGGUACACGCACCUGCCGGGGACGCACUGACCGAGGUGCGGACGGCGGUACCAGGACAGGUAAAGCCGCGAACACUCGGACCUAAGAACUUGACAGGUACACCCUGCCUGAUGAAGCUACGUACGGCCAGGUGCGCAUCGAGUGAAUCAGAGACGAAGUUUCGCCAUGUUGCCCAGGCUGAUCUCAAGCUCUUGGGCUCAAGCAAUCCACCUGCCUUGGCCUCCCGAAGUGCUGGGAUUACAGGGUGAGAACCUACUUCUUCAUAAAGAGAAUUUGGAGGGAGCUUUUUGUUCUGCGGGGACAACAUCUGGAUUUGAAUACAUCCAUGCUCAAAAGGAGAUUUCUCAUAAUGGACCCAACUGAAAGCACUCAGAGUACAAGGACCGGUGAGCUUUCAAAAGGAGACACUUCGGGAGACUCGCCAGGGGCCCUCGUAUCCCCGGCAGCGCGAGUUUUGGAGGUCAGUGGAGGGCUCUCGCAUCAUGCAUGUAACUUUCAUACUCAAAAACUUACCUUCAUCCUGCAUCCCUCACCCCCCUGCAGAAACUUGGGGCUUGAAUUCAUUUAAAAACAUUUGCGGUUUCAGAAGCCUUCUUUUUAUUAUGAAGCUGCCAAGGAGAUCUUAGAAUGAAAGGCAUUUUUAGAGAUGAGAAAGAAGGAAGCCAGGCCAAGGCUGGGCCGGCUCUCAGCCGUGGGUCUGUAAAGGUGACACGUGGGACAUGGCCACCUGCAGACCCUGCAGGCGGCUGGGCAGAGGCACCCACAGGGACCUGGGUUUGAAUCCCUGCUCUGCCAGUCAUUUCCACAGCGAUCUUGGGGGAAGUUGUGUAACCUCUGGGCCCUGCGACGCCCUUUCCUGGAGCCUGGAGCUGGAACGAAGCCCCUUGGAGCCCUGACAUCAGAGGUGACGUUAGUCUUCGCAGGCAAUGACUCGGCGGAAUGUGAUGCCACUCCCUAACCCGUGUCCGGACUGGCAGAGUGUGUGCCGCCUCCCACCAGGUGGUCUGGCUGCUUUGAUGGAUCUCCUAACUUCUCUGCACCCCAGAGCCCUCAGUGCUGGCCAGACCUUCACUCACUCCUGGGUGACAACCCCGUUCUCAGAUAGUGGGUCCCACAGGCUGGCCUGUGGCGCCCCCUGCUGGUGACUGCAGGGAGAAGGAUGCCCUAAGCCAAAGGAAGUCCUUCCUGGGGUCUAAUCUCUACCUUUUGCAUGAUGAGGCAGCUGAGGUGGCUCGCUUUCUCCUCCACCCCAGAAAAUAAAGUCAUAUGGAGUCCAAGCAGUUAUUUUUCUCUGCUAGGCCAGUCCAUCAUAAGCCCCAAAUGGAGGGGCCCCUGGAAUGAGCCCUAUGCAGGCCUUCUAUGGACAAGGGCCCUUCAGGGAGUAGGGCUGUGGAUCUGGGAAUUCUGCCUUGGUGGCCGAAGCAGAAGUCACUGCCCUCCUAAUGCCACUCAUCGGACCACACAACACUUUCACCGCCAGUCCUUGUGUGAUUUGAUCUUUGCAAAUCAGAGAUAGUACUGUUAAUAAUUUCCCUGCAGGAAAGAGGAAGUUAAGGAUAUGAGGAAUUGCCGUCAGGAUCAGAGGUAAGGCCCGGAAUCCCAACAGACUCCCAUUCCCAGCACCUUCCGGGCACCCGCCUUCGAGGCCUUUCCCCUCCCUGCCGCUUUAUAAUGCUAAUUGAGGGAAUGAGUUUCCUUGGCCUGAGAGUGGGCUAGGGCUGGGGCUGGGACCCAGGGCUUAGGCAAUCCCAAGGGUCUGGAAAGGAAAACAGGUCAGGAGUAGAACCCUUUCCCAACACCAUGGGCCAGCUCCCAGGCCCCAUCUUGGGCGUGGGGGAUUUGGAGUAGGAUGACCAUAUAAUUAGUCAUCCAGAUUAGGAUACGUUUGGGAAUGAAAGGGAGUGUCAUUAAAAGUUACCCUAGGGCGGCCGGGCGCGGAGGCUCACGCCUGUAAUCCCAGCACUUUGGGAGGCUGAGGCAGGUGGAUCCAGAGGUCAGCAGUUCGAGACCAGCCUGGCCAACAUAGUGAAACCCCAUCUCUACUAAAAAUACAAAAAUUAGGCUGGUGGCUCACGCCUGUAAUCCCUGCACUUUGGGAGGCCGAGGCGGGUGGAUCACCUGAGGUCAGGAGUUUGAGACCAGCCUGGCCAACAUGAUGAAACCCCAUCUCUACCAAAAAAUUAGCCUGAUGUGGUGG
rnacentral:lncRNA from 10 species